GCCAUUCCCAUUGUACCAUUCUCAUUCUGCUCAUUAAAGACAUCCAUCAUCGUGACGCUGCACUGCCUUACAUUUGGUGGAGGUGCGGGCCGUCCUCCAACCCAAGCGCUGCUGUCGUGGCCAUCAACGCCCCAGCCCCGACGCCGAGACACACCGAAGCGAGACGCACAACGCCGAAACGUAAGACGAUUGAACCCCCAGCCCCAAAGACCAACGACGCUCGCGGUGGCAGCGUGCCACGGAGGACACCCACCGGGACGGGACUGUUUCGUGAGGCAGCGCGGCGUCGUUUCAUCCUUCGGUCAGUCAUUCCCAUCGUCACCUCGUAAUUAAUUUCGACUUCCUGCUCCACGUGUUCGAUUGUCCUACGGAACCCCCACCUCUACUCCCUGACUGGCACGCAACGAAGAAACAACGCCAUGUAGAGAGCUGUAAUUUGGAAAGCACACUGCAUCGACAUCAGUCAUAUUAAUAGUAUUAAUCCUAAUUAAAAUCAGGAUCAUAGCGCAAUUGUAUAUCAGAGCCGUAUAAUAAAACAAAAUCUGCCGAACAGGGAAAAA